rnacentral:rRNA from 1 species
GAUGAACGCUGGCGGUGUGCCUAAUACAUGCAAGUCGAGCGAACAGACGAGGAGCUUACUCCUCUGACGUUAGCGGCGGACGGGUGAGUAACACGUGGAUAACCUACCUAUAAGACUGGGAUAACUUCGGGAAACCGGGGCUAAUACCGGAUAACAUGUUGAACCGCAUGGUUCAACAGUGAAAGACGGUCUUGCUGUCACUUAUAGAUGGAUCCGCGUCGCAUUAGCUAGUUGGUAAGGUAACGGCUUACCAAGGCAACGAUGCGUAGCCGACCUGAGAGGGUGAUCGGCCACACUGGAACUGAGACACGGUCCAGACUCCUACGGGAGGCAGCAGUAGGGAAUCUUCCGCAAUGGGCGAAAGCCUGACGGAGCAACGCCGCGUGAGUGAUGAAGGUCUUCGGAUCGAAAAACUCUGUUAUUAGGGAAGAACAAAUGUGUAAGUAACUAUGCACGUCUUGACGGUACCUAAUCAGAAAGCCACGGCUAACUACGUG